rnacentral:lncRNA from 1 species
UCCACAAGGCAUAAUCUUGUGCUUGAAUAAAAAUUCUCAUUCUAGUCUUCCAAUAGGAAUAAUUUGUCCCAUUGAAGAGUGGAGGUCUAUUGGUUGCCUGCCCCUCAGCAGGAAUAUUGUUGAAGGGUGUUGCCAUCUUGAUCUUUGGCAAAGACGGUUAAGUCUUCAAGAAUACACAGAGCACCCGCUCUGAUACCACUUGUUGCCCAGAGAUGGUCACCCAAGAGGGGGGUGAAUUGGGUGUUUUAAAACUUUUUGUCU